rnacentral:rRNA from 1 species
AGCAGCCGCGGUAAUUCCAGCUCCAAUAGCGUAUAUUAAAGUUGUUGCGGUUAAAAAGCUCGUAGUUGAAUUUCGGGAUUAAUUUACUGGUCGUGCUAUUGUACGUACUGGUUUUAUUGAUUCCUCCCUUCUGACGAACUAUGAUGUCAUUAAUUUGGUGUCAUAGGAAAUCAGGACUGUUACUUUAGAAAAAAUUAGAGUAGUUUAAAGCAGGCUCACGCUUGAAUACAUUAGCAUGGAAUAACGGAAUAGGACGUUUGAUUCUAUUUUGUUGGUUUCUAGGAUCGACGUAAUGAUUAAUAGGGAUAGUUGGGGGCAUUAGUAUUCAAUUGUCAGAGGUGAAAUUCUUGGAUUUAUUGAAGACUAACUACUGCGAAAGCAUUUGCCAAGGAUGUUUUCAUUAAUCAAGAACGAAAGUUAGGGGAUCGAAGACGAUCAGAUACCGUCGUAGUCUUAACCAUAAACUAUGCCGACUAGGGAUCGGAUGAUGUUAAUUUUUAAUGUACUCAUUCGGCGCCUU